CAUUCAAACCGGCGGUUCAACCAUUGAACCAGUAAAUCAGUCCGAUUUUAAUCAAACCAGUUGAAUUUUUGAUUAAAUUAUAGCAAAAUCCAAUGACUUUUAUUCUCUACUAGUGAAGUUAUCUACGCAGUCCGGUGGGUUAAAAAAGAAAGAAGAAUUGAUAAAGUAACAAUUUUCAAAAUUUUUGAGUUGCGAUGAGAUAUCGAUAAAUACAAAUAGUAUAUAAAAAAGAGUCUAAAGAGAUCUUAGUUCACUGCAAAAGUGAUUUGUUCAGAUGACAAUAGACCAUAUGAAUAUAUUAAUUAAAAAGUGAGCGAGUAGGAAGACGAAGUAUCGGACAGCGAUGGAGGGUGAAAAAACGAAGCAUUAAGAAGUGGAAAGGGCCGGAGGAGGCAAAGGUGAGGGAGGAAUUGUAUGUGGCAAAUUUAUGAAAAAUAAUGUAUAGACAUAGAUCAGCACACGGUAAUCUUAUAAAAAGUAAAACUUAAAAACUUAUAUCCACUUAAUUUGGUCUAGAAAUAAAUAUUUUAUAGUUAUGUAUGGUACUAAAAUAAUAAUAUAUGCAUAUUUUUAAAAAAAUAAUAAUUAAAUAUUUGUGACAUCAUGCUGUUGUCACAGAUGCAACCUGAUCCACUAGGGCAACCCAAUAAUAAUUUCGGGCCCUUAUUGGAUCCAUUAGGGCCCCAAGAAAUCCGGCCCGCUAACUCUUUUGGCUUGCUAAUUCUUUCACAAUAUUUUCUUAAUUACUGUUAGGAAACUUCCCCUUAAGCCUAGGAAUGUUAAUGGAUAUGGAUAUCCGAAAUUUUAUUCAAACUUGAAUCCAAACGAAGCGAAUUUAUAUGAUACUAAACGGAAUUCGAAUUCGAACUCCAACCCAAUGGAUUUAGAUUCAGGCAUGUAUUUUAUCUGUAUCGGACCCGAACCUGAACUCCAACCAAAUUCGAAUUGAUUUUACAUUAUAUAAUAUACAAAUAAAUAUUUGAUGUUAUAUAUAGAUUUUUAUUUUAAAAUUUUAAAUUUAAUGCAAUAAAUUUUGAAAUAUGGUAAAUAGAAAUAGGGUUAAUUGCAUAUAUGUCCCUGCAAAUAUAAUGAAUUGCACAUAUAUCCCUACAAAGUUCAAGUUUCAUAUAUUGUCAGUGCAAAAGUCUUGAUAUUUUCAAAUAUAUCUCUGUCGUUAGAAUCCGUUAGAAAAAUUUCGUUAAUCAUAGGUUAAAUACUUAACCGUAGUUAGUUAAUGAUGUGAAUCGAUCUUUUUAGCUCUUUUCAAUUAACAGUUGGGAUUUUUGGAGGGACGUAUUUGUGAUGCCAAAAAGAUCAUUUCACUUAUAAAAUAGUUAGUGCUUCAACGGUAACAAACCAGAGGGACAUAUUUGAAAAUAUUAGGACUUUUGUCUAGAUAAUAUAUGAAAGUUGAACUUUAUAGAGAUAUAUUUAUAAUUUAGUAUAUCUUACAAUUUGUAUGAAAUUAAUCUAUAAAAAUAAUUAUUCCGGUUCAUAUUUUCGGUAUCGGGUUCGGAUUUCGGAUUUUUUGAACGGAUUCGUGUUCGGAUAUGAAUUGUUAAAAUUCGAGUUCAAAAUUCGGGUUACGAUUUUUAAACACCUGCUCUGGCUACAUUGUCAACGGACGAGACAGCACAUGACAAAACGCUAAUGCAGAGAGAGACGUCCCGAGCGUCCGAGAACGAAUCACGAGGCAAGUUGACUUUUUUACUUUUUCUUUUUUGAUUAAUUUUAGGGAAAAUUUUAGAAAACUUCCAUGUGGUUUCUUAGUUUCUCACUUUAUUCUUCCUGUGAUUUAAAAUGUAUCAAAUUGCCCUUCUGUGGUUUCAUUUUUAUCUUUUCGAUAGCUUUUUCGUUAAUAUUUCAUUAAAUUAUAUAUAAAAAAACUUCAGAUACCCAUCUAGAUUUAUCAAAUAUUCACUUUAGUACCCUUUAAUUUUAACUUUAUCACUGAUUUAAGAAAAAAAAAUAAUAAAAUUGAUAAAAAAAAGAGAAAAAAGAAACCACAGGGGGGCAAAUUGAUACAUUUUAAACCACAGGGGGGCAAAGUGAGAAACUACGAAACCACAGGGGAUUUUUGAAGUUUUUUCUUAAUUUUAUACAUGUCAGUGUAAAUAUAGAAAAUUACAAAUAUAGCUCUACAAAAUUUUAUUUCAUAUGUUUUGUCUAUAAAAAUCUUAAUAUUUUUAAAUAUGUCUCUUUUGUUUGUUACCGUUAAAGUAUUAUAUAUUUUAUAAGUGAAAUGAUUUUUUUGCCAUCAGAAAUAUAUCAUUCUAAAAAUUUCAACUGUUAAUUAAAGAGGGGUAAAAAAUCAAUUUACCUUAUUAACUAACUACGGUUAAGUAUUUAAUCUAUAGUUAACUAAAUUUUUUUUCUAACGGAUUCUAAUGGAAGAGACAUAUUUAAAAAUAUCAGAACUUUUAUAAAAAUAAUAUAUAUAAAAAUCUCAAA
rnacentral:lncRNA from 1 species